rnacentral:tRNA from 1 species
GGCUCGUUGGUCAAGAGGUUAAGACACCGCCCUUUCACGGCGGUAACAGGGGUUCAAUUCCC